GAUGAACGCUGGCGGCGUGCUUAACACAUGCAAGUCGAACGAUGAAGCCCAGCUUGCUGGGUGGAUUAGUGGCGAACGGGUGAGUAACACGGGAGUAACCUGCCCUUAACUCUGGGAUAAGCCUGGGAAACUGGGUCUAAUACCGGAUAGGAGCGCCUACCGCAUGGUGGGUGCUGGAAAGAUUUAUCGGUUUUGGAUGGACUGGCGGCCUAUCAGCUUGUUGGUGAGGUAAUGGCUCACCAAGGCGACGACGGGUAGCCGGCCUGAGAGGGUGACCGGCCACACUGGGACUGAGACACGGACCAGACUCCAACGGGAGGCAGCAGUGGGGAGUAUUGCACAAUGGGCGAGAGCCUGAUGCAGCGACGCCGGGUGAGGGAUGACGGCCUUCGGGUUGUAAACCUCUGUCAGUAGGGAAGAAGCGAUAGUGACGGUACCUACAGAAGAAGCACCGGCUAACUACGUG
rnacentral:rRNA from 1 species